rnacentral:rRNA from 1 species
GACAGAGGGUGCAACCGUUGUUCGGAAUUACUGGGCGUAAAGCGCGUGUAGGCUGCUUCGCAAGUCGGGUGUGAAAGCCCUGGGCUCAACCUAGGAAGUGCACUCGAAACUGCGAAGCUCGAGUCCUGGAGAGGAAGGCGGAAUUCUCGGUGUAGAGGUGAAAUUCGUAGAUAUCGAGAGGAACACCGGUGGCGAAGGCGGCCUUCUGGACAGUGACUGACGCUGAGACGCGAAAGCGUGGGGAGCAAACAGG